rnacentral:lncRNA from 1 species
AUGGUGAAAAGUAUCUUAGCGAUGUUCUUUUGCAUUAUUAUUUCUGACUUCAGCAUAUUGCACAAAAAGUCACGGAUCCCAGCUCACAUUCCUUUAUUGUUAGAGAAGUUUGCAUGGAACUCUGCGUUUCCCCUUUCAGCUGGUCAUAAUAAUCUGUUUUUUUUCCUGUUCAGCACUAAGCACAGCAACGAAUCAGAGCAGAUGUGGCUCGAUGAAACCAUCAUGCAACUCAGGAUGAGAGAGGUGGUUACAAACAGCUUUGAAUAUGUGUGUACUUGUGUGUCUGUGUACAAUAUAGCUGAACAAACCUCCGCUGCUGUUGGCGCAGCAGAACAGAUGACUUGGAAAAGGCUCUUGAGUUCUUCACCUCAUAUAACACCUUUUUUAUGCUUAUUACUGUUGAUGCGAUUGAACCUCUGCCACAGUCUGAUUUUGGAUGCCUGUGCCCAUGGAGACUGGAGAACAUCAGCUAUUCAUAGGGGGAGCAGAACCAGAAUUACCUAUGGCUGCAGAGGGGAUCUGGGACGUGGUGGCUGAGGAGAGCACAGUGUGCUUGUACGCAGGACAGCUUUAUAGUAUUUUUUUUCUAAGUAGUUUCCAGGCUCUAACAGCCCCACCGGACCAGUUUCUACUCCCGUUCCUUAUGCAAUCCUUCACUUUGGUUCCACGUCCACUUUUUAUUCUGCAAUAUCUGAACACCCCCUGGUGUAUGUUCAGUAGCACCACUGCCACGCUGCUCAGUGCCUGGGGACAACACGGGGGCUGCCCACCGGGGCCGGAGCUGCUGGAGGAUCCCACAGCAGCCUCCCGUCCUCGGCUGCUCAUCAAACUGUCCCUUGGAUGGAGCACAAGGAAGAACGCAGGCUUGGAGCCCCCACGUAGAUGGGAAAACACUGAAAAUAAUUUCUGUUUCAAUGGAGGCAUAGGGGUGCGUGUAACAAGGUAGACUGGGCAAUGCACACAUAAUGUGGAGCCAGAAUCUAAAGACCAGGAGGAAAGGAAGUUUCUUUCUUGUAUUCUUCAUUGUGUUCCUGGAGGCAGGACUCUGAUGGAAGUUGUCACGCUGCAAGUUUCUGCUCAGCGAAUGGCGGACUGUUGUUUACUUUUAAGCGAAGCAAAUCAGGAAAGGAGGGAAAAGACAAUAAUAUGAAUUGACUUUUAUUACUUCUUGUAUAUAGAAAUUAAAGGCAAGGUUAAGAAAGCCUGAAUCCCUCAUUGGGUCCUUCUAGCAUCAGGUUUACCCCUGAAAGGAAAGAAAUCUCAGGUUAUGAUCCACACUGAGGCACGGGCAUGGAGAAGUCCCAGGGAGAUUAAUGCUGUGAUAUUGCAGCAGGAGAGGUUGCUGGAUCCGUGGUGAAGUUGUUGGGUCUGGAGUGCUUUAAGGGAGGCUGUUGCAUUCUGAUGGGGGACAGUCUGUGUCAAAAGAGAGUGGUGAAAAAUCUGAGAGACAGUAGCAGUUGCAGAUGUAGGGAAAGAUUUUGAGGAGUGGGUUGUUGCUGAACUGAAGAGGAAUAAAAGCAGGAGAAUGACAUUAGCA